rnacentral:rRNA from 1 species
AUUGAACGCUGGCGGCAGGCCUAACACAUGCAAGUCGAGCGGUAGAGAGGUGCUUGCAUCUCUUGAGAGCGGCGGACGGGUGAGUAAUGCCUAGGAAUCUGCCUAGUGGUGGGGGAUAACGUUCGGAAACGGACGCUAAUACCGCAUACGUCCUACGGGAGAAAGCGGGGGAUCUUCGGACCUCGCGCCCUUAGAUGAGCCUAGGUCGGAUUAGCUAGUUGGUGAGGUAAUGGCUCACCAAGGCGACGAUCCGUAACUGGUCUGAGAGGAUGAGCAGACACACUGGAACUGAGACACGGUCCAGACUCCUACGGGAGGCAGCAGUGGGGAAUAUUGGACAAUGGGCGAAAGCCUGAUCCAGCCAUGCCGCGUGUGUGAAGAAGGUCUUCGGAUUGUAAAGCACUUUAAGUUGGGAGGAAGGGUCGUAACCUAAUACGUUGCGGCUUUGACGUUACCGACAGAAUAAGCACCGGCUAACUUCGUGCCAGCAGCCGCGGUAACAC